ACAAAGAAUGCUUCAAGUCUUCUCCACAAAUUUAAGUGAAAAUACAUCUUAAAUUGGCUUCUCCAGUUUCAAUAUUAUUCACCCACCUGCAUAGAAGCCCUCACAAUAGCUCAAAUAUGCAAAACAAUUGUUGUCCAAAGUACACUUAAUGCAACUAAUUAAGGGCUUCAAUAAUUGAACCAGGUGUGCUUGAGCUGGAACAACUGAAAUACCUGAACUGGCUAGGGGUUUAAUGAGUGUCACGUUUGACUGCAUGUUAGAAAUGAAAACAAAUAGAAAAGAAUGGUCCACAAAGUUAAGAGAAGAGAUCAUCACCCUUCACAAACAUGGAACAGGAUACAAAAAGAUAGCGAAUGCACUGAAUGUUUCUAGAGAUAAAGUUGGAAGCAUAGUUUGCAUGUUCAAAGUUGAAGCAACAGUGGUUACAUUGCCUGGACAUAAAAUAAUAAGC